rnacentral:rRNA from 1 species
GUCCACGCCCUAAACGAUGCGAACUGGACGUUGGGAUCAAUUGAGAUUUCAGUGUCGAAGCUAACGCGUUAAGUUCGCCGCCUGGGAGUACGGUCGCAAGACUGAACUCAAGGAAUUGACGGGGCCCGGCACAAGCGGUGGAGUAUGUGGUUUAAUUCGAUGCAACGCGAAGAACCUUACCUGGUCUUGACAUGCACGGAAUCCUUUUAGAGAUAGAGGAGUGCCUUCGGGAACCGUGACACAGGUGCUGCAUGGCUGUCGU